ACACAGGCUGGAUAAAGGCCACACAGGCACUAAGAGAAAUCACACAUAUCUAAACUAAAUUUUCACUAAUCAAAACUAGAUAUCAAGUCUACUUAUAAUAAACCAAAUCAUAAUCCUAAUUCUAAUCAAAUCCCCUGAUUUUAGAAAUUUUCCUAAAACAAAUAAUUCUAAUUCUAAUUUAAAACUUUCAAAUCCAUAGCUUGAAUUUUGGGAAUUUAUUCCCUAUGAAAAAUUCAAAAAAAUAAAAAAAUCUAAAAUAAAUUAUCAAUAACAAUAAUUCCAAAAAUUAUCAAAAAGUGUCCUAACUAAUUUACUUUUUUUUUUUUUUUUAUCUCAUCAUUCA
rnacentral:lncRNA from 1 species